AGAUACCCUGUUACUUAUAUUUAAAAUAUUUUGGAAUAGUAAUACUAAUGAAAUUUAACGGAUUUGGCGGCAAGAUAGCCAUUUAGAGGAACCUGCCCUAUAAACGAUGAUCCACGAUUAAACUCUACUUUUAUUUGYAUUUCAGUUUGUAUACCGCUGUUGUCAGUCAGUUUCUUUAGAAAACUUUCAUUCAUGACAAGAUCAUUGACUUCAAGUAAAGGUGCAGCUUAUGUAAAAGACAGAGGUGGGUUACAUUUAAYAGAUUAAAACGGAUAAAGUUAAUGAAAAUAGCUUUUGAAGGUGGAUUUAAUUGUAAAGUUUAUAUAAACUUGAUGUGAGCUCUAUCUUGUGUACACACCGCCCGU
rnacentral:rRNA from 1 species